rnacentral:lncRNA from 1 species
GGACAACAUUGUUCUUAACUAAAGUUUGAAAAGGGAAAGUGAAAUGAAAUAUAUGGUUUUAAUUAUCAAACUCAUAGCCUUUUUUUUUUUAACCUUACUUUGAAUUCUUAUCAAACUCAUAAGAGAAUAUAGUUUACUAUAGUUUGAAAAAAGUGUUGUGAAUUCUUUAAUAAUCACACCAAUAAUCUUUAUGUGUGGAGCAAAUCGAAUAAGCAAUCAAAAUGUGGAAAUAGCAAUAAUAAUCACGAACAAAAGAUAAGCAAUAAAAUUGUAAAGAACACGAAGCAAUUGUUUACCCAGUUCAGUCAAAAUCGACUUACUCUGGGGGAGAGAGCCACUCUCCGUUCCACUAUCAAUGAAAAGCUUGAUUACAACGAGAUUCACUACAAAAGAGUUGCAAGAAUUAGACUUCAACCCUAAUUCUACCCUUUUCCCAAAUCUCUUCCCGNNNNNNNNNNNNNNNNNNNNNNNNNNNNNNNNNNNNNNNNNNNNNNNNNNNNNNNNAGAGUAACCCUCUUAACCCUAGCGCGCCGUUUUAGUGAAAGAAACCCUCAAAACUUGUUGUCAAAAAACAGAAAACGUGACCCUUUAAAUACCCUGCAGCAAUUUUCGCCCGAGGCACCACUUUUUCCGCCUGGGCGAAAUUUUCGCCUGAGGAACGAGAAAUUUUCGCCUGAGGCACGAAAACAGAAUGUAAACUCCAUUUCUACUGAAAUUUCGCCCGGGGCACCAGAAUUUCGCCCGGAGCACCAAAACAGCAGCUUUAGCUAUUUUUCCACAUUUUCAAGGCAAUUUGCAACAAAAAGAUUACAGAUGUUUACUGUUUUCUUUUUAUUUCAACUAACAAACAUAAGAGAAUAUUAUACUCACAAUUUUUUUACAAUUUUUGAAAAUAGAUCAAGCAUUUUCAAAAAAUUUAAAAAUACCAAAAUAUUGUUUUCAUCAUGUUUUAAAUUGAAAAUGCAUUCUUCUUAAUUUUAUUUUUCAAAUUUUCUCUAUCUCAAAUAUUCACUACACUACAAGAGUCUUCUAUUUUCUUGAUAGUUGUUAAGAAGUCGUAGAGGCAACUCUCACCUUACAAGCCGAUUUUGUAAGGUUGAGUUAGGUCCAACUCUCACCUUACAAGUCGGUUUUGUUAGUGUUGUGGUUAGGCUCAUGGCGCGCCAAUGAGCGUGGCUGUGUGUGCACAAGGCAGAGCAGGCCUUGCCUGCAGUAGCUUGACUAGCAAGUUACUACUUGUAGUGUGUGUGUCUACUUGUAAGUAACUAUGUGACUUGUACUCCUAUAUAAGGUCUUGCCAAGUGAUGAAUAAACUAGAGACUACCAUUUGGAAACAACAAUUGGUAUCACGAGACCUAAAGAUCCAGUUUUUUGCAAAAACAGAAAAAAAAAAAUAGAUAGUUACAACGGUGUAACCGUUUCUUU